UCGAUGAAGGACGGGACUAACACCGAUAUGCUUCGGGGAGCUGUAAGUAAGCUUUGAUCCGGAGAUUUCCGAAUGGGGAAACCCACCAUACGUAAUGGUAUGGUAUCCUUAUCUGAAUACAUAGGGUAAGGAGGACAGACCCAGGGAACUGAAACAUCUAAGUACCUGGAGGAAGAGAAAGCAAAUGCGAUUUCCUGAGUAGCGGCGAGCGAAACGGAACAUA
rnacentral:rRNA from 1 species